rnacentral:rRNA from 1 species
GACGAACGCUGGCGGCGUGCCUAAUACAUGCAAGUCGAACGCAGUGGGGACGGGUGAGUAACACGUGGGUAACCUCCCCAUCAGAGGGGAUAAAACGUGGAAACAGGUGCAAAACCGAUAUUGAUGGAUCGACCUGCGGUGCAUUAGCUAGUUGGUGAGGUAACGGCUGAGCAAGGCCACGAUGCAUAGCCGACCUGAGAGGUGGAGCGCCCACAGGGGAACGUAGACACGGCCCAGACUCCUGCGGGAGGCAGCAGUAGGGAAUCUUCGGCAAUGGACGAAAGUCUUACCGAGCAACGCCGCGUGAGUGAAAAAGGUUUUCGGUUCGUAAAGCUCUGUUGUUAGAGAAGCGGUAUCUAACCAGAAAGCCACGGCUAACUACGUGCCAGCAGCCGCGGUAAUUC